rnacentral:lncRNA from 1 species
AAAUAGAAUCAUGGACUUGGAGGAAUUGCUGGUCCCUCUGUGUGGCCUGGUGAAAAGAACACAAGUGAGCACUGGCAGAGGACACACCUGUGUUUGAAGCCAGCCUCUGCUCCUUUCUAGCUCUGUGUCCUAAAACGAGUUACUUAACGUCUCUGAGCAUGUCCUACGUUAGUGAUAAAAUAUAUAAAUGUCCCUCUCUCAGGGUUGUUGUAAGGAGUAAAUAAAUUAAUGUACAUAAAAAGCACACAAAAGUAUCUGUUACACUGCAACUGCUCUAGAGGUGAUUGCCAUAAUGAAGAAGAAUAUUCGAAACUGGAGGUGAAUCUCAUGAUUCUGCACUUUUUAUCUGGAUGUUGCUGGCUUUUCACCAUGGCUUUUCUGACUUUGUUCCACAGUGUGUGUAAAGCACUUAAUCUGUUCCAAGUUCUUUGUAAGACUUUAGUCUGAGGACUGAAGCCCACAGCUCAUUGCCCUUUAAAGGAAGAGCUAUAAAUAGUACACUGGGUCAUUAAAAAGAGGAAGGAAUGCACCUGGACAGCCAAGUACAUGUAAAUUUGGCCAGAGGAGACUUCAGGGCCCAGAGCAUGCCCGUCAGCAAAGUCUCCCCUGGCUUCUGCAGAAGAACUCUGGUCAUCCAGGUGAGGGACCACAGGCCAGCCAGCUGUUCCUUCCAGACGUCUCCAGAAACCUCUAUGAGUCCCUUGGAAGGUAACAAACUCAGACCAAGAGGCUGCUUCUGAAGAAACCCAACAGUAGACUCUGGUGUGAAGAACAAAGACACACAGCUUGAGCCUGGGGAUGGACACCUCCCAGCAGCCCUGGCUGCCACUCACUGCUGUGCUGCAGCCUGAGAUGAGAAUACUGAUGUUCAGAGCAACCGACUGAACCCCUGGAAGUCACUCAUACUGAAAAUGGCAAAGCAGUAUCUGCCCCUGCUCUGUCCAAUGCUAACAGGACUGCUGAGGCCUCCCCUCCACCUCGCCUCAAGUUGACAUUGGGCCUGUGGAAAUAGACCUCUAAGCCAGCCUUUCUUGCUAGUUUGGUUUUAGCCUUUCUUGGACUCAGCUUUGCCAUCUGUGAAAUAUGUGAGUCAUCUAGAUAGUGUCUGAAACCUACCAGCUCCAAGUCUAUGGUCCACGGAUGGGCUGUGAGGACAAUCAAGACUGAGGCAGGUUUUCACUCAAGUCCUGGAAUAUCUGGUCAUCCUUCCAGGGUUCUUCAUGGCAGGGAAACAAAAUCAACAACUGAAGAACAUGAGGUUCAGGAGAUUUAAGUCUGAGUUCCAGUGUUGGCUUUGGGUGCCUCUAAUCAACCACAAAUCUAUCCCAAGCCCGAGGCAGGCUGGUCUUACUCAACAUUUAUGGGGUCUUGCAGGGCUUAUGAGUGAGCUCAUGUGGGUGAGCUGUGGGUACCACAGGACCAGCACAGAUUGCUCCAGCACAUUGUCCAGCCACGAGACAGAAUUUCCCUCUUACAGAUCCAUUGAAUAGCCCUGGCCUGUGGGUUUGCUGUAAAGAUGCAAAAGCCCUGAAGCAUUAUCUGCCAAACCUCAGCCCUGACCAUGGUUAGGCUGACAUCAGGGGAGGCAGCAGGAGAGGGAGAGAAAAGGGUAUCUCAUUGUGGAACUGGGGCAGUGGUGGGCAGGGGCUGAUGCAGGAGGGGUGCCAUGGCCCAACUGCUCUUCACCCACGGUCCUUACACAGACCUGAUCCUGCUAAUUCUGACUCAGCUUUCAGACUCAGCCUGCGGACACUCAA